AAAAAUUAAAGUUUUCCCUUCUUCCCCUUCCCCACGAUUUUUCCAUCCCUUCCAAAGUUAAUCACUCAUGCCCCCGUCACCACAUCUCAGCCGCUGCCUCAAUCGUUCGCUGCCAGUGCUGACUCCAGUCGCAAGCUCAACUAAAUCUGACUCCUGCUGGUGCCGUGAUGCUAAUUCCAACCGUGUUGCAACUCCUGACGCCACCAAGAUCUGACUCCAGCCACCUCCUUCUCGGCUCACGCUGCCGCACACUGCCGCAUACUAUCAGACAAUGUUUCCAAUUCGAAGCCUUUCAGUUUCCGUUGCAAAGCUACAAAUUACUUUACUCCCUCCAUCCUCAUUUGCCUCCUCCAUCUCCAUCGGCCCUAAUCUCCAAAUCCCACAAUAACAUCCCAAUUUGAAGGACUUCUUCUCUUAUAUUGAUACUUUUGUUUGCUUUUGGAUUAGAGAAUUAUUCGUUGUGGUGGAGCCCUUGAUGAUGAUAUGUCGAAUAUCAUUGUUGCUCAACUUCUAUACCUUGAUGCUAUUGAUCCCAAUGAGGAUAUUAUGAUGUAUGUAAAUUCCCGUGUUGAGUUACAGCUGGUAAUAUUGAAACCGGUGGAAACCAUAUCACUGAUUGUUUGUUCUGUUGGAAACUGGGACGAGCUUUAUCUUUUAACUACUGAUUAACUUGGAUUUAUGUUGGACAUGGAGUAGCCAAUGGUAGGUCUAAGCAAAGUAGAAGUGAGAAAAAGAGUCGUAAAGCAAUGCUGAAGCUUGGAAUGAAGCCUAUCUCCGGUGUGAGCCAUGUCACAGUCAAGAAGAGUAAAAAUGUUAGUUUUUUUCAACAUCUCAAAUUUGACACUUCUAAAUUGAUUCUAUCUAAUAUCUAUGGCGUUUUCUCUGCAGAUGUUAUCUAAUAUCUAAAUUGAUUCUAUCUAAUAUCUAUGGCAUUAUCUCAUAAUUUUAUUGAAUUGUGAUAUCUAACUUCAUUCUUUUAACUUUAUUUUCAAUGCAAUGUUGAUAAUUUGUGAUUUCAAAUAUGUAUGUUCUAAAAUUUAAGAUAUGUAUGUUCUUGUUUUGUUCUUUUUAGUUUUUUGGAACUUCAUGUUUUAUUUUAGAUAUCUAGUUACAAGUCAAGAGUAUAUUACAACAUAGAAAUAAGCAUUUUUUUAUUCUCACAAGGAUGAAGAUUUGAGUAAGGUUCGUAUUUUUGUCUGUUUUAUGUUUCUUUAAUUAGCAUUGAAAAUUUGUUGGAGUUUGAUUUUCAGAGUUUCGUUUUGUUUUUGCAACUAUCUUUGAAGUUUAUUAAUUCCGAGAAGUUUCAGAGGUGAGUUUAUGUUUGUUGUUGUUGUGAGACGGUGGAGUGGUGAUAUUUCUUUCUCUGUGGAGGAGAAUAUCCUUUGGCUUGUGUUUAUUUUGAUUUUUUUUAAUUUUAUUAUUGAAUUGUGUGUCUUUUCUAAAGAAAUAUGAGAAAAACCGUUUAAUGCUCUCUGUUGAAGAGUUAAAGUUGUAGUAAUUUAAUUACAUAUUAAGUUUAUUUUUCAGUUUAAUGCUCUCUGUUAGUGAUUUAACACAGGUGAUUUUUCUUAUGCGAUAGACUUGAGUCGACAAAGUCUAGUUUUGCUUUAUUUUAUGUAGUUUUCUACUGUAAAUUAUAUGUACCUGGUUGAUUGUUAGUUCGUUAAUUCUAGAGAUGGCUUUUAAAAUUGAAAUUUAGGGAUUCUAAUCUUGUUAAGGUCAAAUAUGUUCAAGAACAUGUAUAGUAUUACUACUUACUUUUGUUUGCUUUUGGAUGUCUGGAUGUUCAUGUUCGGUGGUCAUUACGUAUAAGACUUAGAAGCACAUAUACAGAUGCUGAGGUGGAAUAUUCUUUCAAUAUAUUUCUUUUCCUCUAAUGAUGAUGACUAUCACUCCCUAUGAUCUUUUUUUCCCUCUCUUUACUGUAUGCUUCUUCCUUAGAAAUAUACUCAAUGAAGAUUUUGGAAGUUGAGUAGAUCAUGGACAUUGAAACAGGACUUGAACUAAUAAUGAAGAAAAUGUUGAAAAGGUUUGUUUUUCAUUUUUCAAUUUUAUGCUAUGUGGAAAGUAAUUGUUUUUACAUUUUAAGACACUUGCAUAAAUGAUCAUACAAAUGAUAGAAGGUUCAACCAAAACCUCAUAGAAAGGAUAGUCCUCGGAAAGCUAUCUAGAAGGUAAUAUUCAUUUUGCUUUGUUCUUUUGCCUGAAUGAUAUUACCUCAAAAACAUAAAUACUGUCAAAGAGUAAUUUGAUCCCUCUUGCAACCAAACUCAUAUGUCUUUCAAGUUUUAGAUACUUUAAUUUUUUACAUUAUAGUCAGCUCGUUGUGUAAUCUUUUCUUGAAUUUAUGUCAUUGUCAGUUUAGUAAAACUUGAUGCUAUCUUCUUCUGUACAGAUUUUGGACAACGAAAAAAGAUAGGAUUGGAACAUUUCAAGCCAAUGAAGCCUUUGGAGUCUGGUGAUCUUUAAGCACAAAUCUUUCAAGCCAAUGAAGCCAAUUAAGCACAAAUCUUUAUAUAAUUGGCGGCAAUGUGCAUUUGGUAGAACUAUAUGGGACUGAUCAAUACUUUGCAAUGAAGGCAAUGGAUAAGGGUGUCAUGCUCGACCGCAACAAGAUCUGAAAAGUGAAGAACACGAAAUUCACAUCUACGAAUGAGCUUAUACUGAUGACCAACCUACAAAUAGUACAAAGGAAGCUUUUGAGAAAGUCGUUUUCAUCAAAACUCAGAAGACUAAUGCUCGAACAGAGGAAUGAUUGAAGACAUAUCGGGUUGAAAGCAAAGCAAUUGUGUAGAUAGGCUAUUAUUGAAGGUUGAAGACUGAGAAGAUAUGUUUAGAAUUUCUUGUUAAAGUUUUGUAUUAGGAUCUUGUUUCAUGUACUGUUGUAGAAUGUAUAUAUAAAUACAAUAUUAAGAUUUUAUUUUGUGUAUACAAAUGUAAAAGACAAAUAUUAUAGUUUCUAAAAUAAUAUUAAUUUAAUUGA